rnacentral:lncRNA from 1 species
CUCUUUCUCUGCCGAUCACCACUCCACCAUCUUCCUGGAAGUACCAGAGACUUUUUUGCUCUGUGGGCUCUGACUUCUUUUCUCUUCUCUCUCCAGGUUGCCCACAGAUCUGGGAAGCCUUACUGGAAAAUUAUCUUAAUGGCCAAGCCCUCUGAUAGCUUCUGGAGUUUUCGGCAAGAACUUCAGUCUUCCAAAGGCAACCUCCCAGACUGCUGGGAUAACAGGUGUGUAUCUCACCUAUUGAUUGCUUCGAGCUGCUGUGCCAAGUGACUGACACCUGCUGCCUAGGACUGAGAAUGGAUCAGCUGCCACGUGCACAGGGUGAGAUUGCCUUGAAGUGCAUUUCUCAGAACUGCUCUCUGCCAUCAAUACAUGGCUGGUGGAUUUUAUAC